UAUUGCACUGGUCCCGACUAAU
rnacentral:miRNA from 1 species